UUAAAAUGGCCGCAGUAUACUAACUGUGCAAAGGUAGCAUAAUCAUUAGUCUUUUAAUUGGAGGCUGGUAUGAAUGGUUGGACGAGAUAUUAACUGUUUCAUUUAAAUUUAUAAUAGAAUUUUAUUUUUUAGUCAAAAAGCUAAAAUUUAUUUAAAAGACGAGAAGACCCUAUAAAUCUUUAUAUAUAUAUUAUUAGGAUUUUGUAGAUUUUUUUUAUUAUAAUAAUUGAUUAUAUUUUAUUGGGGUGAUAUUAAAAUUUAAUAAACUUUUAAUUUUUAAGGUCAUUAAUUUAUGAGUAAUUGAUCCGUUAAUAACGAUUAAAAAUUUAAGUUACUUUAGGGAUAACAGCGUAAUUUUUUUGGAGAGUUCAUAUCGAUAAAAAAGAUUGCGACCU
rnacentral:rRNA from 1 species